GGCCUGGCUGGGUGGUCUUGCCGCAAGGUAAGCACUGCUCCGGUUGGGUCUUUCCUUCUGGGGAACCAGCGUGCUCUUAAUUGGGUGCGUUGGGGAUCCAGGACUUUUACUUUGAAAAAAUUAGAGUGUUUAAAGCAGGCAUUCGCUUGAAUACAUUAGCAUGGAAUAAUAAAAUAGGAC
rnacentral:rRNA from 1 species